rnacentral:tRNA from 1 species
GGAGGAUAAGCGAAUGGUUAGCGGCCUCAUUGGAAAUGAGGUGCCCCGAAAGGGGUUGCGGGUUCGAGCCCCGUGUCCUCCG